rnacentral:rRNA from 1 species
UACUGACACAGGUGCUGCAUGGCUGUCGUCAGCUCGUGUCGUGAGAUGUUGGGUUAAGUCCGUAACGAGCGCAACCCUUGUCCUUAGUUACCAGCACGUUAUGGUGGGCACUCUAAGGAGACUGCCGGUGACAAACCGGAGGAAGGUGGGGAGUGACGUCAAGUCAUCAUGGCCCUUACGGCCUGGGCUACACACGUGCUACAAUGGUCGGUACAAAGGGUUGCCAAGCCGCGAGGUGGAGCUAAUCCCAUAAAACCGAUCGUAGUCCGGAUCGCAGUCUGCAACUCGACUGCGUGAAGUCGGAAUCGCUAGUAAUCGUGAAUCAGAAUGUCACGGUGAAUACGUUCCCGGGCCUU